rnacentral:rRNA from 1 species
AUUGAACGCUGGCGGCAUGCUUUACACAUGCAAGUCGAACGGCAGCGCGGGCUUCGGCCUGGCGGCGAGUGGCGAACGGGUGAGUAAUGCAUCGGAACGUGCCCAGUAGUGGGGGAUAGCCCGGCGAAAGCCGGAUUAAUACCGCAUACGACCUGAGGGUGAAAGCGGGGGACCGAAAGGCCUCGCGCUAUUGGAGCGGCCGAUGUCGGAUUAGCUAGUUGGUGGGGUAAAGGCUUACCAAGGCGACGAUCCGUAGCUGGUCUGAGAGGACGACCAGCCACACGGGGACUGAGACACGGCCCAGACUCCUACGGGAGGCAGCAGUGGGGAAUUUUGGACAAUGGGGGCAACCCUGAUCCAGCCAUGCCGCGUGCGGGAAGAAGGCCUUCGGGCUGUAAACCGCUUUUGUUCGGGAAGAAAUCCUCUGGGCUAAUACCCCGGGGGGAUGACGGUACCGGAAGAAUAAGCACCGGCUAACUACGU